rnacentral:rRNA from 1 species
UACGUAGGCAGCAAGCGUUGUUCGGAAUUACUGGGCGUAAAGAGCGUGUAGGCGGCUUGUUAAGUCUUGCGUGAAAUCUCGGGGCUCAACCCCGAGCGGUCGUGAGAAACUGGCAGGCUAGAGUGCGGGAGAGGAGAGUGGAAUUCCUGGUGUAGCGGUGAAAUGCGCAGAUAUCAGGAAGAACACCCGUGGCGAAGGCGGCUCUCUGGAACGCAACUGACGCUGAGACGCGAAAGCGUGGGGAGCAAACAGG